rnacentral:rRNA from 1 species
GAUGAACGCUGGCGGCGUGCCUAAUACAUGCAAGUCGAGCGAACAGACGAGGAGCUUGCUCCUCUGACGUUAGCGGCGGACGGGUGAGUAACACGUGGAUAACCUACCUAUAAGACUGGGAUAACUUCGGGAAACCGGAGCUAAUACCGGAUAAUAUAUUGAACCGCAUGGUUCAAUAGUGAAAGACGGUUUUGCUGUCAAUUAUAGAUGGAUCCGCGCCGCAUUAGCGAGUUGGUAAGGUAACGGCUUACCAAGGCCACGAUGCGUAGCCGACCUGAGAGGAUGAUCGGCCAAACUGGGACUGAGACACGGUCCCGACUCCUACGCGAGGCAGCAGUGGCGAAUCUUCCGCAAAGGGCGCAAGCCUGACGGAGCACCGCCGCGUGAGUGAUGAAGGUCUUCCGAUCGUAAACCUCUGUUAUUAGGGAAGAACAAAUGUGGAAGUAACUAUGCACAUCUUGACGGUACCUAAUCAGAAAGCCCCGGCUAACUUCGUG